rnacentral:rRNA from 1 species
UAUGUAGCAAUACAUGGCGUACUGCUCAGUAACACGUGGAUAACCUGCCCUUGGGACCGGCAUAACCCCGGGAAACUGGGGAUAAUUCCGGAUAACGCAUAUUUGCUGGAAUGCUUUAUGCGUCAAAAGGAUUCGUCUGCCCAAGGAUGGGUCUGCGGCCUAUCAGGUAGUAGUGGGUGUAAUGUACCUACUAGCCAGCGACGGGUACGGGUUGUGAGAGCAAGAGCCCGGAGAUGGAUUCUGAGACAUGAAUCCAGGCCCUACGGGGCGCAGCAGGCGCGAAAACUUUACAAUGCGGGAAACCGUGAUAAGGGGACACACGAGUGCCAGCAUCAUAUGCUGGCUGUCCGAUGUGUAAAAUACAUCCGUUAGCAAGGGCCGGGCAAGACCGGUGCCAGCCGCCGCGGUAACACCGGCGGCCCGAGUGGUGAUCGUGAUUAUUGGGUCUAAAGGGUCCGUAGCCGGUUUGGUCAGUCCUCCGGGAAAUCUGAUAGCUCAACUAUUAGGCUUUCGGGGGAUACUGCCAGACUUGGAACCGGGAGAGGUAAGAGGUACUACAGGGGUAGGAGUGAAAUCUUGUAAUCCCUGUGGGACCACCUGUGGCGAAGGCGUCUUACCAGAACGGGUUCGACGGUGAGGGACGAAAGCUGGGGGCACGAACCGGAUUAGAUACCCGGGUAGUCCCAGCCGUAAACGAUGCUCGCUAGGUGUCAGGCAUGGCGCGACCGUGUCUGGUGCCGCAGGGAAGCCGUGAAGCGAGCCACCUGGGAAGUACGGCCGCAAGGCUGAAACUUAAAGGAAUUGGCGGGGGGAGCACAACAACGGGUGGAGCCUGCGGUUUAAUUGGACUCAACGCCGGACAACUCACCGGGGGCGACAGCAAUAUGUAGGCCAAGCUGAAGACUUUGCCUGAAUCGCUGAGAGGAGGUGCAUGGCCGUCGCCAGUUCGUACUGUGAAGCAUCCUGUUAAGUCAGGCAACGAGCGAGACCCGUGCCCACUGUUACCAGCAUGUCCUCCGGGACGAUGGGUACUCUGUGGGGACCGCCGAUGUUAAAUCGGAGGAAGGUGCGGGCCACGGUAGGUCAGAUCGCCCCGAAUCUCCCGGGCUACACGCGGGCUACAAUGGAUGGGACAAUGGGUCCUCCCCUGAAGU